CCUACGGGUGGCUGCAGUGGGGAAUAUUGGGCAAUGGGCGCAAGCCUGACCAAGCAACGCCGCGGGAAGGAAGAAGGCUUUCGGGUUGUAAACUUCUUUUCUCAGGGACGAAGCAAGUGAAGGUACCUGAGGAAUAAGCCACGGCUAACUACGUGCCAGCAGCCGCGGUAAUACGUAGGUGGCAGACGUUAUCCGGAUUUACUGGGUGUAAGGGGCGUGUAGGCGGGACUGCAAGUCAGAUGUGAAAACCACGGGCUCAACCUGUGGCCUGCAUUUGAAACUGUAGUUCUUGAGUACUGGAGAGGCAGACGGAAUUCCUAGUGUAGCGGUGAAAUGCGUAGAUAUUAGGAGGAAAACCAGUGGCGAAGGCGGUCUGCUGGACAGCAACUGACGCUGAGGCGCGAAAGCGUGGGGAGCAAACAGGAUUAGAUACCCCUGUAGUC
rnacentral:rRNA from 1 species